GUCGCGGUAGCUUAGCCUGGGAGAGCGCAGGACUGAAGAUCCUGUUGUCGGGAGUUCGAAUCCCCCCCGCGACACCA
rnacentral:tRNA from 1 species